CGGGGGCCGUAACUAUAACGGUCCUAAGGUGGCGAGAUUCCGUGUCGGGGAAGUGCCGACCUGCACGAAUGGCGGAAUGAUGGCCAGGCUGGCGCCACCCGAGACUCAGUGAAAUGGAAAUCGCUGUGAAGAUGCAGUGUAGCCGCGGCAAGACGGAAAGACCCCGUGAACCGUUACUAUAGCUGGACACUGAACAGUGAGCCUUGAUGUGUAGGAUAGGUGGGAGGCAUUGAAACGUGAGCGCCAGUUUGCGUGGAGCCGACCUUGAAAUACCACCAUUUAAUGUUUGAUUUGCUAACGUUGUCCCGUGAGCCGGGAUACGGACAGUGUCUGGUGGGUAGUUUGACUGGGGCGGUCUCCUACUAAAGAGAAACGGAGGGGCGCGAAGGUUAGCUAAGCAUGGUCGUACAUCAUGCGGUUAGUGCAAAGGCAGAAGCUAGC
rnacentral:rRNA from 1 species